UGUGGGGCUUGAAUCCACAGACCGUGAGAUCAUGACCUGAGCCAAAGUCACUCAACCGACUGAGCCACCCAGGCGCCCCAAUGAACUGUACUUCUUAAUUCAAGAUUAAUCAGAAAUUAAAACAAGACAUCUCCAAAAUAAUGUUGAAGAAAUGACUUUGUUUCCUGCUUACUAAAACACUGUGGAGCACUGUGAUGCCAAUUGGACAUCCUCUACCUGGGACACAAUUUAUUGCGUUUAAAGUACCUUUAAAGGGAAUAUGUAAAUUAUUUUCUUAUUUAUCAUGUAAGGAGAAGAAUUGGGACUGAUGUGAUCCAUGUUUACUUAAUGUUAUGCUUUUCUUCAUAAAAAUAUGUGAAUUGUAA